GCAAUAGUGGUUCAAUAGUAGAAUUCUUGCUUUCCAUGCAGAAGACUUGGUUCGAUUCCCAGCCAAUGCA
rnacentral:tRNA from 1 species